rnacentral:rRNA from 1 species
GACGAACGCUGGCGGCGUGCUUAACACAUGCAAGUCGAACGGAAAGGCCCCUUUGGGGGUACUCGAGUGGCGAACGGGUGAGUAACACGUGAGUAACCUGCCCUUGACUUCGGGAUAACUUCAAGAAACUGGGGCUAAUACCGGAUAGGAAUCCUUGCUGCAUGGUGGGGGUUGGAAAGCUUCGGCGGUUUUGGAUGGACUCGCGGCUUAUCAGCUUGUUGGUGGGGUAGUGGCUUACCAAGGCCUUGACGGGUAGCCGGCCUGAGAGGGCGACCGGCCACAUUGGGACUGAGAUACGGCCAGACUCCUACGGGAGGCAGCAGUGGGGAAUAUUGCACAAUGGGCGGAAGCCUGAUGCAGCAACGCCGCGUGCGGGAUGACGGCCUUCGGGUUGUAAACCGCUUUCAGCAGGGGCGAAGCUUUUGUGACGGUACCUGCAGAAGAAGCACCGGCUAACUACGUG